AAACUUUUUGGCCACUUGGAGAGAUUGAGUGCAGAAGACGUACUGAGACAGCUAGAGGGUUAAAAAAGCAAUAUGCUCUUCAUCACUCACUUCAUCAUCAGUUUUUCGAUUUUCAACAAUGUAUUUGGAAUAAGACUUGUUUCGAAAAUCAAAUUUGAUGGUGUCGGAAGCUUUAAAAGGGUCAUAAGUGUCACCAAGAGGUGAUAGGCCAGUAAUGGCAGCAACAUCUAGCAGUGUAGGAGUCAUCAUGCCACAUUCGAA
rnacentral:lncRNA from 1 species